GUGGGGAAUUUUGGACAAUGGGCGCAAGCCUGAUCCAGCAAUGCCGCGUGUGUGAAGAAGGCCUUCGGGUUGUAAAGCACUUUUGGCAGGAAAGAAAUAGCGCGUGCUAAUACCAUGCGCGAAUGACGGUACCUGCAGAAUAAGCACCGGCUAACUACGUGCCAGCAGCCGCGGUAAGACGUAGGGUGCAAGCGUUAAUCGGAAUUACUGGGCGUAAAGCGUGCGCAGGCGGUUUUGUAAGACAGGUGUGAAAUCCCCGGGCUCAACCUGGGAACUGCACUUGUGACUGCAAGGCUAGAGUGUGUCAGAGGGAGGUGGAAUUCCGCGUGUAGCAGUGAAAUGCGUAGAGAUGCGGAGGAACACCGAUGGCGAAGGCAGCCUCCUGGGAUAACACUGACGCUCAGGCACGAAAGCGUGGGGAGCAAACAGGAUUAGAUACCCUAGUAGUCC
rnacentral:rRNA from 1 species